UGUAAAAUUUUAAAGGUCGAACAGACCCAAUCAAUAAACUCCUACAUUUAUAAUUUAUUUUAAUUCAACAUCGAGGUCGCAAACAUUUCUUUCAAUUUGAUCUAUUCAUAAAUAUUACGCUGUUAUCCCUAAGGUAAUUUAUUCUUUAUAUAUAAUUUAUAUUUCAAAUUAUUCUAUUCAUUUAUAUUUUAAAAUUUUAAAGUUUAUUAAAUUUAAAAAUCCUCCCAAUUAAAUAUAAUCUUAAUUUUUUUAAAUUAUAAAUUAUAUAAAAUUCUAUAGGGUCUUAUCGUCCCUCAAAUCUAUUUAAGCAUUUUUACUUAAAAUUUAAAUUUAUUCUAUUAAUUGAGACAGUUUAUAUUUCAUUGAUUCAUUCAUUCCAGCCUUUAAUUAAAAGACAAAUGAUUAUGCUACCUUUGUACAGUCAAAAUACUGCAGCUAUUUAAUUCCUCAUUGAGCAGAACUGACUUUAAAUUAAUUUCAAAAAGCC
rnacentral:rRNA from 1 species